rnacentral:rRNA from 1 species
UACGUAGGAGGCGAGCGUUGUUCGGAAUCACUGGGCGUAAAGGGCGCGUAGGCGGCCGAUCAAGUCGGGGGUGAAAGCCUGUGGCUCAACCACAGAAUUGCCUUCGAUACUGUUUGGCUUGAGACCGGAAGAGGUUAGUGGAACUGCGAGUGUAGAGGUGAAAUUCGUAGAUAUUCGCAAGAACACCAGUGGCGAAGGCGGCUGACUGGUCCGGUUCUGACGCUGAGACGCGAAAGCGUGGGGAGCGAACAGG